AAAGUCGUAACAAGGUUUCCGUAGGUGAACCUGCGGAAGGAUCAUUAAAGAGUAAGGGUGCUCAGCGCCCGACCUCCAACCCUUUGUUGUUAAAACUACCUUGUUGCUUUGCGGGACCGGCUCCGGUCUCGAUGCCGCAUGGGGCAGCUUCGGGAUUCCCAGGCCGAGGCGCCGCCAGACGUUCAAACAAUACCAUCUUGUUAUUUAAUACCGGUCGUCUGAGUUAAAAUUUUGAAUAAAUCAAAA
rnacentral:misc_RNA from 1 species